UACGGAGGGUGCAAGCGUUAUUCGGAAUUACUGGGCGUAAAGGGCGCGUAGGCGGCACUUUAAGUCAGACGUGAAAGCCCGGGGCUCAACCCCGGAAGUGCGUUUGAAACUAAGGAGCUUGAGUACGGGAGAGGGAAGUGGAAUUCCUGGUGUAGAGGUGAAAUUCGUAGAUAUCAGGAGGAACACCGGUGGCGAAGGCGACUUCCUGGACCGAUACUGACGCUAAGGCGCGAAAGCGUGGGGAGCAAACAGGAUUAGAUACCCCCGUA
rnacentral:rRNA from 1 species